AUUGAACGCUGGCGGCAUGCCUUACACAUGCAAGUCGAACGGCAGCACGGGUGCUUGCACCUGGUGGCGAGUGCGAACGGGUGAGUAAUACAUCGGAACGUACCUUAUCGUGGGGGAUAACGCAGCGAAAGCUGUGCUAAUACCGCAUACGCCCUGAGGGGGAAAGCGGGGGAUCGAAAGACCUCGCGCCUUUGGAGCGGCCGAUGUCAGAUUAGGUAGUUGGUGGGGUAAAGGCCUACCAAGCCGACGAUCUGUAGCGGGUCUGAGAGGAUGAUCCGCCACACUGGGACUGAGACACGGCCCAGACUCCUACGGGAGGCAGCAGUGGGGAAUUUUGGACAAUGGGCGAAAGCCUGAUCCAGCCAUGCCGCGUGAGUGAAGAAGGCCUUCGGGUUGUAAAGCUCUUUCGGCUGGGAAGAAAUCCGCACAGGCUAAUACUCUGUGUGGAUGACGGUACCAGCACAAGAAGCACCGGCUAACUACGUG
rnacentral:rRNA from 1 species